rnacentral:misc_RNA from 1 species
AUUUGUAUUUGAUUGAGAGUUUUGAUUAUGUGUGUUUCAAUUUUGAUUCUAUUUAUUUUGUAAUUAUUUGUGUUGUUGAUGGAUUUUAUUUCAUUGCCAUUGAGAAUUUGAGUAUUGGCUUCCUAUUGUUGAGAUUCUCCACCUACUAUUUCGCAAAGAAGAGGGAGAUGGGAAGAAACAGAAAAGAGAAAACACUAUAGGGCGCCCGCGCCCUUUUGAUCAAAGGCCGCUGGCAAACACGCUAAAGGGAGAGAGCAAAAGACGUAGCAGAAGCCUGUGGCAGAUUUACACAUAGGCCCACAGAUGCAAGAGGAGAGGAGGCCCUGUACAAAUGCAGGCAUGUAAUCGCAGCAAUCUGGUAACGUUCGUAAGCAGGCAUUGUAUAGGAAAUUUACACAUUCACCCCAUAUCAUGCUGCACGGUAUGGUAAACGAUGAGGGCAGAAAUGUCAUUGAAGAUCCUCCGAAUCAAUUGCAAUUCUACUUCGCAUUUCACUGUUAAUUUCUAGAUAAAAGUAAAACCCCAAAACUACGGUUUCUUUCCCCAGCCGCAGCCUGCAGCAUCCCCACCAUUUCCUUCGGCCGCGCUUCGGUUCAUCUCCUCCCUUAACCCCGAAGCUUCUUGGAUUCUCUUCUUCCCUUCAGUUCCUCGAACUCAAAUCAACCUUUCCCUUCAACUGGAUUCUCUGUUCUCCUUUGUUUCGAUUCUCUAUUAAUAGUCCUCGCUUAUUCCUUUUGGCAAUAGCUGGCAUCUGGGUCUGACAUUUACUCAGUUCUUCCUCUCGUCUCAACUAAGGCUCAAAUUUGAAAAAUGCAAGAAUAUGCCAAAUUCCAUAUUGUGAGGAUGUUUCUCCAGAACCUUAAUCAUUGCAAUCAUAGGUUGAAGUCAACAUCAUCACCUAUUUAUCUUAUUCGAAAUUUCUCACUUUGGUCCAUGAAGAAGGAUCCUGAUCUUGAGUCAGCCCUUUCACGAAACCGAAGAUGGAUAGUCAAUAAUCAAAUCAAGAACAUAAUAUUUAGAUACCCAAACCAGGUGGUACCUGUCAAUUAUCUCCAGAAGAAGUUCAAGACUCUUGAUCUUCAAGGAAAAGCUCUCAAUUGGCUUAAGAAGUACCCUUGUUGCUUUUCAGUGUUUCUUGGGAAUGAUGAGUAUUAUUGUCGAUUAACAAAGCCGAUGAUGUUUCGUG